UUAGACCUAUUUUGGGUUUAGCUGAUGUUGUAGUUCAAUUUUGUUGAACUGGUGCAGGUUUGUAUUUUGUUUUGGUUUGUGGGCUGCUGUUCUGUAGUAGAGUUUUCUGGUUUUGGGGUACGGCAGCUGCAGAUUAGUCGGGUUACUAGUUUCGUAUUGGAUGUUUCUCUCAUUCCUCCCAUUUCAUUACUUCGGACUGUUAGUAUUUUGGCUCAAAGUACUGGUUUUUAACUUCUAUUAUAAUUCUUUUGCUCACAUAUUUUGAUUGAACUAGCAUAAAAAAACUACUAUUUUUUAUUUGAGAUAUGGACUAUUGGUUAAGAAUGAAUCUUUUUUGUUUUAAUGUUAAAUGGUAAUCGGUGCAUAAUUCUUGUUAUGUUAUACCUUAGCACAUUAUUGUUGGUUUCAAUUCUUUUCUUUUGAUUCAUACCUUCAACCUCAUCUAUGACAUCUUUGUCAUUGACACACAAUCAGACACUACUCGUUUAUAAUGCUAUUGUUUAUUUACGAUUUCUGGAGAACUAGAAAGUACAUGAGUAUAUAGGACAAUUGUUUUAGUCCACUUUUUCUAAGGAAACUGCAAAACCUUUCAUCUGUCAAUGUCUAUUAACUAGCUAUAAAAUUGGCUGCUAGUACUUCCAAUUCCUCUAUACCUCCAUGGGCUAGAGGGUAAGUAAGUUAUGUUCUUUUUCUUGUGUUGAUUGUAAUGUUAGAGGUUUUAGUUAAGCAUAUGUGAUAACUUGAAUCACUUUAAAUUAACUUUCAGGUUAAGAAGCUACAUCUAGUCUAGAGGGAAGAUUAAAGCAAAUAGUAGAUAAAGAUGUAAUUUGAGAGUGACUUAGUUGAAUUGGAAGAAAUGGUACAUGUUGCAUUCUUGUGUGCACAUUUUAGGUGACUUUGUUGAUUAUGUGGAAUUGCAUAUCCCUAACUCUAAGCAUCAAUUGUAAAUAUUAUAGUAUAUGAUCAAGCCUUCUAAAUUAGUAAUUGUCCUUUUUACCUCUUUUUUUUUCCUACAAUGUUGAACUGUGUGUGUUUGAUUUUGAUGAAGGGUGUGGAACUAAUCUGAUUCAAGAUCACAAGGUAUGUGGUAAAGGUACAGUGGUCCUAUGAAAACUUCCUAAUUUUUCUUAUUGUUUAUCUUUUGUUUGGUUUGUGGUGUAUUAUAGGCAUGCUUAUGCAACAACUUUUCUUCUUAUUGUUUAAAUGAGUAAGUUGCAGUUGACAACAUAAACUCAUUUAAAUUGAUAUGUAUGUGUUUGUUGAAACUUUCUGAAGAUUCAAUUGAUGUACUUCAGGGGAUAUUUGGUUAGUAGAGAAGUGGAGUUAAAGCCAUUACUUUAUUACAGUAUUUAGUAUUUUCCUCUGCAGGAGUAACUGAACUGAUUACUUUUGGUAUUUGGUAUUUAAUUUAGAUUUGAAUCCCUUGAAUAAAAUUGAUGCAUGUAGGAGUUUAUUGGGUAGAUGAAAAAGGGAAAAGGAGUGUUGCGUGAACGUCAAACGUUGAAACUCGCUCUGAAAGAUGAAAAAGGGCAAAGGCUGUAAGAUUGGUUGUAUUUGGAGAUUCAACACCAUUUCAUAAGGACGAAGUUUCGAAUAUUCAAGAACGUUUAGAUUUAGUUUGGUUAGGCGUGUUUUAGUAGUAGUCUAAGAUUAUGUUUUUUCCACUAGUGUUGCUGUCAUUUGAAGUGUUCUACUUGCCAUACAAAAUUAUGUUUUAUUUGUUGAUUAUAGUUUUUGAUUUUUUUGAAUUAA